rnacentral:lncRNA from 1 species
CUUAUCGAAUUUUUGUCCCCUUUUCCUACCGAAGUGCUGCCGAAAUUUUCCAUGAAUUCUUGCUUGUUUCUCAUAUCAUUCCUCAUCGCUUUGCAACCUUCAAGGAUCGUUGGUUUCACUUGUUUGUCAAAGAAGCAAUUAAGUUUUACCUCUUCUUUCUCUUCCUCCCCUCUUCCCCGUUCAUUCUUGGAUCUCGGGUGGAGAUCCUCUUGUAGUGUAGGAGAGUUGUGACAGCCUGAGACCGACGCCCCAGAAGAAUCCCCAUCUAUUCCGUUUUCGUCGCGUGGUUAUUUUUAUUUGUCGCAUCAUCAUCGCAUCAUGCGCAUCAUCAGCAUUGCAUCGGCAUCCCAUUGCCGCCAGUUUCCAAACUUGCAUCCGUUGUUAGUUGCCGGUUCUCGUCGUUACCCGCUCGGAGCCCGACCGCACACGCACGCGCCCGCGGUAUCGUUAAACCCAGUUUUCAAAAGUGUUUAUAAAACUUUCCAUGAUUGGGUUGAGAUUUGACGUGCGGUCUUAUUUUAAUAUAGCUAGGGCGCGUGUCGAAUUUCGUCGCAAUCGGAGUCCGCCUGGUACCCGAAUGGUCGACCGUAGCGGCACCGUCUUUGGUUAUUCGUCGGACAUUUGUCGGUGUUUUCAAAUACGUUGUCGGGUCCUUCGUUUUCCCUCUCGUCUCUGGAUAACCACUC